GCCGAGGACAGACCAAUCUCUUUGAGGCUUGUGAGAGACGGUGUGCGUUUGAAUGUUGAACGUAAGGAACCUAGUAAAAACCUAAAGAGCCUUGGAAGUGGGCCUGUGCCAAGGGACCCACCAAGAGGGGCUUCCAUCCCCACAGCCAACACCCAACAGAUGAGGGAGGUCAGAAGAAAAGAGUUCCUAAUCCUAUAACAAAGGCUGAAUCAGGGGGACUGUGUUGCUGGAAUUUCAUCCAUUGACCUAAAAAAUGGUUCUGGAAAAGCGUAUCAAGGCCCUGCAAAAGAUUCUGCUGAUGUAACCAUCACGCUUUCAGAUGAAGAUUUCAUGGAAGUAGUCUUGGGCAAGCUUGAUCCUCAGAAGGCAUUCUUUAGUGGCAGACUGAAGGCCAGAGGGAACAUCAUGUUGAGCCAGAAGCUUCAGAUGAUUCUUAAAGAAUAUGCCAAGCUCUGAAGGAUAUACUAUGUUAUUAAUUACAAUAGAAAAAUUAAAUACUCUCUUCAACUAAAUAUGCAGAAGUGAUUCAGCAAAAAUGGUCAAAAUUAAGAUACAGGGGAAAUUGCUUAACAUUUUCAGAUUACAGAUAACUUUUUAGAUGUUCAUUUUCUACUAAUUUUUCAUGUUAUUACUUUUACAAGGAACUGUAAGCUGGCACAUGAUUAUCCUUCUGUUCUUAGACCUAUGUCUUCACAAUAAAAAAGUUUCACU